UACGAUCACACCAUAUCUUGACACCGGUUUCCGUACGAUCACCGUAGUUAAGCAACGUUGAGACUGGUCAGUACUUCGAUGGGUAAAGACUUGGGAAUACCAGGUGAUGUAA